UACAGAGGUCCCAAGCGUUGUUCGGAUUCACUGGGCGUAAAGGGUGCGUAGGCGGUCGGGUAAGUCUGAUGUGAAAUCUCACAGCUUAACUGUGAAACUGCAUUGGAUACUAUUCGGCUUGAGAGUUGGAGGGGGAUGGAAUUCCGCGUGUAGCAGUGAAAUGCGUAGAUAUGCGGAGGAACACCGAUGGCGAAGGCAAUCCCCUGGGCCUGCACUGACGCUCAUGCACGAAAGCGUGGGGAGCAAACAGG
rnacentral:rRNA from 1 species